rnacentral:tRNA from 1 species
GGAUGUAUCUCAGUGGUAGAGUUCAUGCUUAGUAUGCAUGAGCUCCUGGGUUCAAUCCCCAGGACCUCCA